UUGACUGGCUACAACCCAGCCCAGCCCGUCCCUCCCUCGUGGCGACGAGGAGAGUGGCAUAACUCGCCGGUUGCUAUAACCCGAUUUGCCCUUGUCCUCACUCCCCUCUUCCCGCUCCUCUCUCCCGCGUGCAUGCUUUCUAUAUUUCCCUUUUAGGAAUUAGUAGGUGUCCUUCCCUUCCCAUUGGAGAAGGAGCUUGGCCCUUCCAUUCUCACUGGGGCAGGAACUCGGCGAAUCAUUCUAUUUCUCCUCUCGCGUGUUACAAGGUUCUCUUCCAUUGCUGCCUCCCGAGCGGCGGUAGAGAAUGAUAGAGGGUUCCCCUCUUGGCUUGGCUUUUACUGUUCUCACUAACUGGUUGUUAAAUUUAUAGAGCACGAUGAACCGGCCUUGCACUCGCAACAAAAAUAAAAGGCAACGAAAUGAUGAUAGUGAUUAUUCUUCUUCUGAGAUUCUGAGAAAAGUUCACUUAACUGGUGAGGUUUCGCAUAAUGAUAUAUGCCAACUAUAUCUAAUUUGGAAGCCUCUCUGCCGGGAAUGCCAUGGCAAUUCUAAGGAUUCACCAAAUUGCUUCUGUGGGUUAAUUCCACCACCUAACAGAAAUAGGAAAAGUGGCUUGUGGCAGAGGAUCCCAGAUAUUAUUCAAUCUCUCGGUCCUAACCCAUAUAAAGAUCUCCGCACAUCAAUAGAAAUACCUGCUGGAUUAACUAAUCUUGGAGCUACCUGCUAUGCCAACAGCAUUCUUCAAUGCCUUUUUAUGAACUCAGCAUUCCGGGAAGGCAUUUUCUCAGUUGAACCUGACCUUUUGAAUCAGCAUCCUGUUUUGGAUCAACUUGCUCGCCUCUUUGCAAAGUUGCACUCAAGCAAAUUAGCUUGUAUUGAUUCAGCUCCUUUUAUCAAGACGCUAGAGCUUGAUAAUGGUGUUCAGCAGGAUAGCCAUGAAUUCCUUACUUUAUUUCUUUCUUUGCUAGAGCGUUCCUUAAGCCAUUCCAAGUUUCCAAAUGUUAGAACUAUUGUGCAGGAUUUAUUUCGAGGGAGUGUGUCUCAUGUUACUAGGUGCUCCAUAUGUGGAAAAGAAUCUGAUGCUUCUUCAAAGAUAGAGGACUUUUAUGAACUUGAGCUGAAUAUCAAGGGUUUGAACAAUCUAGAUGAAAGUCUUAAUGAUUAUUUAAGCUUGGAAGAACUGCGUGGAGAAAAUCAGUAUUUUUGUGAAUCAUGUGGCAUGCGAGUUGAUGCGACCAGAUGUAUAAAACUACACUCGCUUCCUUCUGUCCUUAAUUUGCAACUAAAGCGAUAUGUAUUCCUGCCAAAGACUACAACUAAGAAGAAAAUUACUUCUGUAUUUGGUUUUCCUAGGAUGGUAAACAUGGGAAAGCAUUUGUGUAAUCCAACUGAAACCAGUUUAGUGUAUGAGUUGUCUGCUAUACUUAUUCACAAAGGCACUGCUGUUAAUAGCGGGCAUUACGUGGCCCACAUUAAGGAUGAAAAGUGCGGACAUUGGUGGGAAUUUGAUGAUGAGCAUGUAUCUAAAUUGGGUUUUCACCCCUUUGGAGAAAAUUCUUCAAGUUUAUCUAUGAAAACUGAGCAAUUGGUCAAGUCAAUUUGGCCUGAAACAGUUGCCAAUGGCGACUUUAAAGUUAUUAUUCACAGUCAGGAUAUAUAUUCUUCUUCAGAUGCUUAUAUGCUGAUGUAUAAUUUUGUUAGUAUGAAGGAAAAUUAUUCCAAACAACAUACAACUGUUGAGGUAGUUAAAAGUGAUGUUGGUACGAGAAAUAUCUCUCUGCCAUUUCAUUUGCAUAAAGAGAUACAAGAGUUAAAUUUAUUUUCUUCCAAGGAUUGUGAAGAAUACCAAUCAAAAAAGGAUAGGCAUCUGUGCUAUGUAACAGAAAGACGGGAGGAAAUAAAACAGAUUCUAUCUGAAGCUUCUGUUCAGUCCCUUGAUGAAUCUUUUUUUUGGAUUUCAACUGAUUGGCUUCGGCAGUGGGCUGAUACUAUAAGUCCUCCCUCCAUUGACAAUAGUUCAAUUCAGUGCUCGCAUGGAAAAGUUCCAUUUUCUAAUGUCACUUCCAUGAAGCGGCUAUCAAGUACCUCAUGGCAGAGGUUAUUCACAAAAUAUGGAGGAGGCCCGGCACUGGCUAGUGAUGAUUUCUGUAUUGCUUGUCUGAAGAAUGCUGCCGAGAAUGCUGUAAAUGCAGAUGACUACAAGGAAAAAAGAGCUCUUUUAAGGAAUCUUGCUGAAGCAGCUUUGGCCGGAGAUUGUCUAGAUGGCACUGCAUAUUAUGUUUCCAGGCCAUGGCUGUUGCAGUGGUUGCGUAGAAAGAAUGUUGAUUCUCCUUGUGAGUCUGAUGCUGGACCAACAGCGGCUCUCACAUGCACACAUGGCAAUCUUCUUCCAGAGCAGGCUACCGGGGCUAAGCGCAUACUGGUUCCUGAUGCUCUUUGGAACUUUUUUUAUGAUAGUGCGAGUAAAGUGAGGCCUGAGGAUAAAUUGGGUUCUGUGGCCUUCCCUUCUUAUAGUAAACCCUGUGAGAUUUGCAACAGGGAGAUGACAGAAGUCGCAAACUUGGAAGAUUCCUUAAGAGCAGAAAAAAACAGAAAACGGCAGAAUCAUGAAAAGUUGCUCAUUGGGAAGACUUUAGCACUUCAUACGGGGUGUAAGUACUUCUUACUCCCUUCUUCAUGGCUAGCAAAAUGGAGAGCAUAUGUUACCACUACUGGAAAAAAUAUAUCCUCGACGGGCGAACCUGAAAACUUGGAAGUGAUUAUUAGUUCACUAAUCUGUGAGAAGCAUUCUCGAUUACUAGAAAGGCCUUUGGAGCUUGUUUCCAAGCAUGGUGUCAUUUCACAGAAAACAUCAUCUACAGAUGGAUUGACGCUUAUUUCUGAGAGUGAUUGGAAGUUCUUUUGCGAAGAGUGGAAUGGUUAUGAAAGUAUGGGCAUUCGCGCGGAAAUUGCUUUUAGUAACAAUGCAAUGAAAAUAGCCGGAUCUUGUGAAGGGGUUCCAAUUGCUGAGGAGGAACUUCACGACAUUAAAGAGGAAACAAUUGAAGUGCUGGAGGAAAGAAUUCCUUUUGUUAUAACUGAUCCAGAGUUAUGUGAAGACUGCAUUGGAGAGAGAGAAAGCUCUGAGUUGGUUCGAAAGCUCAAUUACAAUGAUGAGGAUAUUUGUGUGUAUCUUGUGCAUGGGAAGGAAGCUCCCCGGUCAAUUAUUGAAGCUUCUACAGUUCCAUCUAUCCGGACUUCAAAGCGCUCCAAAAAAACUUCAUAUGGAAAGUCAAUCAAUUUUAAAGUCUCUAGCACCACAUCUGUAUACCAGCUGAAAAUGAUGAUAUGGGAAGCCUUUGGGGUUGUGAAGGAGAACCAAAAGCUUCACAAAAGCUUUGUACAAAUUGAUGGGGAUUCUGCUACACUUGCAGACAAAAAUAUAUUUCCAGGAGACACUCUAUGGGUCAUGGACACUGAGAUUUAUGAGAAUCGUGAUAUAGCUGAUGAGCUCUCUGAACAGAAGAUUGAGCCACCUAAGGCUGAGGAAGGAUUUCGUGGAACUCUUCUGACUUCAGAUGUGUCUAGUCAGGGUUUUCAGGAAAAACCAUUUCUUGAUGAUUCGGAGGUAUAGUUGAAAUUUAUACGAGUUGGAUAGGAAUUUUGUACUAGGAAGACUUGAGAUCUUGGCUGCAAGUUUCCCUUUGUAGGUAUCCUGAUAAAACUUGGAAAGCGCUUUUGAUGAUGAUGGCAGAUUACUGCUUGAGCAACGUGGAUGGAAGGAGCAUUUUAGUUUGUUUAGUUCAUAUAUGUUUUUGAUUUCCCUCUUGUCUGACAUGAUAGGCUCAGUUAUCCUUUAAACUGGGAAGAAGUGGCAGAGAGGUGGCAAAUAUGUUUUCCUCCAACUGCUGGUUCAGAAUUUUUGCUGUUCCUGUAUUUUGGAGUUUAUAUAUAAUGGGAAGAACGUAUGAUUUUGAAUGUGAAAUUUGCAGUCAAGAAGUGGAUCGAAGAUAGUUGAAAGGAGCUGUAAAUGCUUAUGUUUGUGCAUUUGCUUUACUAUAAUGUCAAACUGUUUAUGAUUAUUAUCUAGCGUGCGCUAAUUAAUGUGCUAUAUAUUGGAUUCUAAAUUAAGGCUUUAUUUGGCAUGA